rnacentral:tRNA from 1 species
GCGCCUGUAGCUCAGGGGAUAGAGCGCUGGCCUCCGGAGCCAGAUGCGCAGGUUCGAUUCCUGCCAGGCGCA